ACACCGCAUAAGAACGAACAUACAUACAAACAUAAAAUUAAGAGACUUUUUUUUUUUAUAAAAAAUAAAUAAAAAUGAAGAUUUUUAUGCAGUUUGUUUUGUUAUUUUGUUUUCUAAACUUGGUCGUCUCAAAAAUUGUAUACCCUGCUAUAAGGAUUCAUCAAAUUGCGCUGCUACAAAACGGCAAUGUCACUGUAGUUCCAUUUAUUGAGAGAGCGAGUCCAGCUCCUUUAGUACCCCGAGAUCCUAGAGGGAGACGUAUAGUAAUGGCAGUUCCCGAGGCUCUUCCAAAGCAACAAAAUAUAAAUGCCACUGUAACUGCACCUAUUGCUAUGAUGAGUACAGUUCCUUUGGUACCCCAAGAUCCUAGUGAAACACAGAUGGCAGGAGCCAAAUAAAGUAAUUUAUUUAAAGUUAGAAGCCUUAAAUAUUCAAAAAAUGCCCAAUUUGAGAGGAUUUAGUACACAAUUAUUGACAUAAUAUCUUAUUUGCGUCCACAAAACAGGAAUAUGAUGGCAAAAAAAUAACGAUUAAAUUUUAAUUAUGUAAUGGUUUUUAUAAUAGCAAAGAAAUAUUACGGUUCCAAAGGGUUCCUCAAA